rnacentral:lncRNA from 1 species
UGGGAGCGAAGGGUUUGCCCUGGAGAGAGUUGGGGCACAGGCCACUUUGCACAGCUCCUCAGCCUAGCCUGCCUAGUGUAAGUGCAGACUGUGGGGAGGGCUCUGCCCGCCCUUCCGUGUGAACCACAUGAACACCCUCCCAACACCCUGUGCUUUCCGUUUUGGUCUGUUUGUUUUUCUGUUGUUGUAGCUUUUUUUGUCCUGUUAUGUUUUAUCUGUUUGUAUUUUAGAAGGGGGAGGGGAAGUUGUAAUUAUUUCAUCUAAGUCUCCCAUUAUAUAUCUGUGAAUAAGAGAUUCUAUAAUAGCAAAAGUAUGUAUAUUUUAGCUUGUCAUGAAAUGUCAACGAAGGACACUGAGAAAGAGAAUACUCAGAGCCCCGUUCUUGUGAAUGUUGUGUGUUUGUUUUGACAUGUGUGUUUGGUUUGGUUUUUUGUUUGUUUGUUUGUUUGUUUGUUUUUGAGCUGCACUGAGCAGGGUGCUGGGCAGGCCGGUGUGUGGGCACCUCUGCAGGAGACUGGACACCGUCUAAGGACUGGGGGCCUGAGAUCAGCUGUGAACAUUUGCAGCACAAUGCAUGCAAGUCAGGGAUGUGGGGGUCCCACAGCCAGCAGCACCCCCUGAUGGAACAACUGUACAUUUGCCAAUGGGUUUUCCCCACAAGACUACGGUUUUUACUACAAAUAAACCUACGUUCUAUUCUGCA